GCGCUGUCGUUUUUUAUUUUCAUUUUUAUGUCUACUCCUAUUUAUUGUCUACAUUAAUAUGAACUUUUUAACUAUUGAUUUGACCAUUUCAAUUUCCACUUAUAGAAAACAUUCAAGCUACACAGAAAUUCAUCAUUGGCUUGGAUGCCAGAUGAAUAUCAAAGUUUCCUGAACACAGUGAUGAUAGUGAAGACAGUGAACAUGACUAGUUGAGUGGCUGAUAAAUUGGUGGUUCCGUGAUACGAUGAAAUUUUUCUUCAGUUGAAAAUGCUCAAGAUUUUGCCUUUUUUGCCUACUUUAUAAGAAAUGGUGUUGUACAUUUUUCUUACUGGGUCUUCCAUUUAAUGUCAAUGUAAUUGUUAUAUUGAAACAA